rnacentral:rRNA from 1 species
UACGGAGGGGGCUAGCGUUGUCCGGAUUUACUGGGCGUAAAGCGCGCGUAGGCGGCUUUGCAAGUUGGGCGUGAAAGCCCAGGGCUCAACCCUGGAAUUGCGUUCAAGACUGCAAGGCUUGGAGACUGGAAGAGGAGGGCGGAAUUCCCAGUGUAGAGGUGAAAUUCGUAGAUAUUGGGAAGAACACCGGUGGCGAAGGCGGCUCUCUGGUCCAGUUCUGACGCUGAGGCGCGAAAGCGUGGGGAGCAAACAGG